rfam:Ictidomys tridecemlineatus contig013372, whole genome shotgun sequence.
GGGGAUAUAGCUCGGUUGGUAGAGUGCUUUGUCUCACAUGCACAUGGCCCUGGGUUGAAUCCCCAGCACCCCCC